rnacentral:rRNA from 1 species
UACGUAGGGUGCGAGCGUUGUCCGGAAUUACUGGGCGUAAAGAGCUCGUAGGUGGUUUGUCGCGUUGUUCGUGAAAACUCACAGCUUAACUGUGGGCGUGCGGGCGAUACGGGCAGACUGGAGUACUGCAGGGGAGACUGGAAUUCCUGGUGUAGCGGUGGAAUGCGCAGAUAGUCAGGAGGAACACCGGUGGCGAAGGCGGGUCUCUGGGCAGUAACUGACGCUGAGGAGCGAAAGCGUGGGGAGCGAACAGG